UGAUAAGGGACUGAUGACACCAAACGUCGU
rnacentral:piRNA from 1 species